rnacentral:misc_RNA from 1 species
GACGAAGAACGUAGCAAAAUGCGAUAAGUAAUGUGAAUUGCAGAAUUCAGUGAAUCAUCGAAUCUUUGAACGCACAUUGCGCCCGCUGGUAUUCCGGCGGGCAUGCCUGUUCGAGCGUCAUUUCAACCCUCAAGCCCCCGGGUUUGGUGUUGGGGAUCGGCUCUGCCCUUCUGGGCGGUGCCGCCCCCGAAAUACAUUGGCGGUCUCGCUGCAGCCUCCAUUGCGUAGUAGCUAACACCUCGCAACUGGAACGCGGCGCGGCCAUGCCGUAAAACCCCAACUUCUGAAUGUUGACCUCGGAUCAGGUAGGAAUACCCGCUGAACUUAAGCAUAUCAAUAAGCGGAGGA